GGUAAAAUGACUGAAUUUUAAGUGAUAAAUUGUAAAUUUAUUUAUGAAAUAUAAAUAUGUAUUUCUUUUACUA
rnacentral:tRNA from 1 species